rnacentral:rRNA from 1 species
CAAGUACCAUGAGGGAAAGAUGAAAAGGACUUUGAAAAGAGAGUUAAAAGUGCCUGAAAUUGCUGAAAGGGAAGCGAAUGGAACCAGUGCUCUUGGCGAGAUUGUUGUGCGCUAUGGUGAUUGCGGGCUGCUUCAGCGCAAGCGAAGUAGUUUGUAUUGAGCUUGACGCGCGCAGUGUUUCUUACCUUGUGCGUCAUCGUCAGUUCACAGGCGAGGAUACUUCUAAGGACAUGGUAACUCUUCCACGGAGGUGUGAAUGUCUUUGGUAAUACUCGCUUGUAGACUGUCACGAUGACUAAAUGGUUUUAUUCGACCCGUC